UUUUUGGUAUCUAAGAGUGGUGCAGUAUUCUAGUCGGUCUACCGUUCUGGAGAGUGAGCCUAAAAAUUCACUAAAGGGCACAUCGAUGAUGGUUCUUGGAUUGGCUCGGGGCGCCCAGCUUUGGGUCGAUUCAGGAAGUAAGGAAUUAGGGCGAUCCACAAUGGCAUGUGGGCGUUGACCCUGGUUUCGCGGAGGCUUUAUUCUGAUUUGAAAAUAAAUUGGAAUAUUGGAAAACCUGCAUAAACAGGAAACUGUGUGCAGCGUAGCCUGCCUUGAGUGAAGUUUGAGGGGAUUGCGAAAGGAGCGUAUAUACAUCAGUUGGCCAUUGAUAUAUCUACUGCCAUCGCAUGAAAUCGGCUUUGCAAAAGAGGCUAAAGAAUUGGUUAAGGGCUGUCGGGGAAAUCUCCUAGACUGUUCAAUGACAUAUAUGAAGGAUUAAGGUACGGACUAAGUGGCAAUCCAGUCCAAUUGACGGAAACGCAGUUGAGUCAGAUUUAAAGGGGAACCGCCGAUAUGGCGACAUUCGGUAACUGACUGGGAAAUCCUACUGGACCUAAGCCGUAAAAUUAACUUCCUAUAUGACCACUCUCCUAUAAAAAUUA
rnacentral:sRNA from 1 species